CUACGGCUGCUGCAGUGGGGAAUCUUAGACAAUGGGGGAAACCCUGAUCUAGCCAUGCCGCGUGAGUGACGAAGGCCUUAGGGUCGUAAAGCUCUUUCGCUGGGGAAGAUAAUGACUGUACCCAGUAAAGAAACCCCGGCUAACUCCGUGCCAGCAGCCGCGGUAAUACGGAGGGGGUUAGCGUUGUUCGGAAUUACUGGGCGUAAAGCGCGCGUAGGCGGACUGGAAAGUUGGGGGUGAAAUCCCGGGGCUCAACCCCGGAACGGCCUCCAAAACUAUCAGUCUAGAGUUCGAGAGAGGUGAGUGGAAUUCCGAGUGUAGAGGUGAAAUUCGUAGAUAUUCGGAGGAACACCAGUGGCGAAGGCGGCUCACUGGCUCGAUACUGACGCUGAGGUGCGAAAGCGUGGGGAGCAAACAGGAUUAGAUACCCCAGUAGUC
rnacentral:rRNA from 1 species